CGUAAACAGAUAACGAGCGUUCUUCUUACUAAAACAGUUGUCUCUAACCUCUAGCCAACAAAAUUUCGUAAAAAAAUUAAUUCAAGUUAUUAUUUAAUAUUAUUACUAUUUUAAUAAGUGAAAUAAAAUGUUGAACGUCGGAGGAAAGUUGGCAAGAAUAAUUGUUCGAAGUUAUGCUACGAAAUCCAAUGAAAUUGGAAAUCUUGUUAAAAAAAAUAAAGUUGUUGUCUUUAUGAAAGGCAUACCGGAAGAUCCAAGAUGCGGUUUUAGUAAUGCUGUAGUUCAGAUAUUUAGAAUGCACGGCGUUACUUAUGAUGCUCAUGACGUUCUUCAAGACGAAGAUCUUAGACAAGGUAUUAAAGAAUAUUCAAAGUGGCCAACAAUACCGCAGGUAUUUAUCAAUGGAGAUUUUGUUGGCGGCUGCGAUAUUUUAUUAGAAAUGCAUAAAAAUGGUGAACUAGUAGAAGAAUUGAAGAAAGUAGGUAUUAAAAGCGCCUUGUUGGAGAAAGAAGAUGCUUCUGAAAACGAAGCUACAAAAUCCAAAGAUUAGAAAGUGAUCUUCUAUUUAUUGUAAAUAAGACCGAUGUGUGUAAACUGUUUUUCUCAUAAAACAAACGUUUUUUUGUUAUAAUAAAUAUUCUUCUUUUCAAUUCUUUUAGCUCGCAUCAGUAUAGUCCUUGCGCGAAAAGGAUGGAAACAAGAUGUGAAUUUGAAUUUAAACAAAAAUUUAUGCCUUUGUCUAUUCGAUACGUAGAAAUCACAUAUUCUGUAGUUCUUUUCUUAAAAUUUUCCCAGCUGAACUUUUAGGAAUUUCGUUGAUGAACUGUACAUGUCCUAUUUGUUUGUAAUUGGAAACCUGUUUAGCAACAAAGUUUUUUACGUCUUCUGGAUUAACGGUGCUACUUGAAAACCUUUUACUUUGAUCAAUUCUUUGGAGCGUCCUUCAAUGUAGAUGUAUCCUAGGUAAAUUUUAAAUUGAUCAAUAUAAUAAUUAACAUAAGGAU
rnacentral:misc_RNA from 1 species